rnacentral:rRNA from 1 species
UCCGGGGGGAGCAAGCGUUGUUCGGAUUUACUGGGCGUAAAGGGCGCGUAGGCGGUCAGCACAAGUCAGUUGUGAAAUCUCCGGGCUUAACUCGGAAAGGUCAACUGAUACUGUGCGACUAGAGUGCGGAAGGGGCAACUGGAAUUCUCGGUGUAGCGGUGAAAUGCGUAGAUAUCGAGAGGAACACCUGCGGCGAAGGCGGGUUGCUGGGCCGACACUGACGCUGAUGCGCGAAAGCCAGGGGAGCGAACGGG